rnacentral:lncRNA from 1 species
AUUUAUGAAGACGAUGAUGAAUGUGAAGAUGAAGAAGGAUGAAAAAGAUGAAGAUAGAUAAAAAAAUAUAUUAGAUGUUGAUGGUAUACCGUUAUAAUUAAUAGACUCUAAAGAUCUAAAAGUGUAUAAUUCGUUAAAACUUUCAAAUGGUCAAAUGGUUAAAAUUAAAAAAAAAAUGUAGGAUGAACAUUCAAAUAUAUUAUUUCACCUUUUUAAAGUUAAAAGUUAACAUAAUAAAUUAAAUUAAAUGAUAAAAUAAUUUUUACAAGACUAAAAAAAC